rnacentral:rRNA from 1 species
GCUUAACACAUGCAAGUCGAGGGGCAGCAUUUCAGUUUGCUUGCAAACUGGAGAUGGCGACCGGCGCACGGGUGAGUAACACGUAUCCAACCUGCCGAUAACUCGGGGAUAGCCUUUCGAAAGAAAGAUUAAUACCCGAUGGCAUAAUUAGACCGCAUGGUCUUAUUAUUAAAGAAUUUCGGUUAUCGAUGGGGAUGCGUUCCAUUAGGCAGUUGGUGAGGUAACGGCUCACCAAACCUUCGAUGGAUAGGGGUUCUGAGAGGAAGGUCCCCCACAUUGGAACUGAGACACGGUCCAAACUCCUACGGGAGGCAGCAGUGAGGAAUAUUGGUCAAUGGACGAGAGUCUGAACCAGCCAAGUAGCGUGAAGGAUGACUGCCCUAUGGGUUGUAAACUUCUUUUAUAUGGGAAUAAAGUUUUCCACGUGUGGAAUUUUGUAUGUACCAUAUGAAUAAGGAUCGGCUAACUCCGUGCCAGCAGCCGCGGUAAUACGGAGGAUCCGAGCGUUAUCCGGAUUUAUUGGGUUUAAAGGGAGCGUAGGUGGACAGUUAAGUCAGUUGUGAAAGUUUGCGGCUCAACCGUAAAAUUGCAGUUGAUACUGGCUGUCUUGAGUACAGUAGAGGUGGGCGGAAUUCGUGGUGUAGCGGUGAAAUGCUUAGAUAUCACGAAGAACUCCGAUUGCGAAGGCAGCUCACUGGACUGCAACUGACACUGAUGCUCGAAAGUGUGGGUAUCAAACAGGAUUAGAUACCCUGGUAGUCCACACAGUAAACGAUGAAUACUCGCUGUUUGCGAUAUACAGUAAGCGGCCAAGCGAAAGCAUUAAGUAUUCCACCUGGGGAGUACGCCGGCAACGGUGAAACUCAAAGGAAUUGACGGGGGCCCGCACAAGCGGAGGAACAUGUGGUUUAAUUCGAUGAUACGCGAGGAACCUUACCCGGGCUUAAAUUGCAUUUGAAUAAUCUGGAAACAGGUUUGCCGCAAGGCAAAUGUGAAGGUGCUGCAUGGUUGUCGUCAGCUCGUGCCGUGAGGUGUCGGCUUAAGUGCCAUAACGAGCGCAACCCUUAUCUUUAGUUACUAACAGGUCAUGCUGAGGACUCUAGAGAGACUGCCGUCGUAAGAUGUGAGGAAGGUGGGGAUGACGUCAAAUCAGCACGGCCCUUACGUCCGGGGCUACACACGUGUUACAAUGGGGGGUACAGAAGGCAGCUACCUGGUGACAGGAUGCUAAUCCCAAAAGCCUCUCUCAGUUCGGAUCGAAGUCUGCAACCCGACUUCGUGAAGCUGGAUUCGCUAGUAAUCGCGCAUCAGCCAUGGCGCGGUGAAUACGUUCCCGGGCCUUGUACACACCGCCCGUCAAGCCAUGAAAGCCGGGGGUACCUGAAGUACGUAACCGCAAGGAGCGUCCUAGGGUAAAACUGGUAAUUGGGGCUAAGU